GAAUUCCUUUUUGAUUAUCUAUCUAAUAAUCCUCUCCUUUGAAGCAAUCUUGAGUACAAUAUUGAAAUAUGCCUGGCAGUCUGAAGAAAAGUGGCAUGAGCCUUGGUAUAACCAGCAAACUGAUCAUGAAAGAAACAGCAGCAAGAUUCUGAGAUUGUUUC